CUUUUACUUGGCCGGGGCUGCGGCGACGCUGGGUUCGAACAGCGGCGGGUUCAUACUUGUCAGCAGAUUAGGAGGAGACUCUGGGUUCGUACGCCGACUGAGGCUUCUCCUUGAUGGGCUCCGGGCCCCGAAGUCUGGGGGCAGUACGGGGCCGGGGACAUGCAGGAAAGGGCCCUGGACCACUACAAAGCCGCAAAGAAAAAUUAGACUUGUUUCAUUUUAUAACAACAACAACUGCUACUACUGCUACUAGUUAGAUACCGUUUGCUCAUUUAUAACAAUCUCAGUUGGUAGGAUGAAGCUUAAACACUUGGCAUUCAUCGUCUUUUUCAGUCCUCUCGCCAGUCUUACAGACUUGGACCUUCAGUUGUGAUGCUUAAUCAGAAUUUUUUUUGAGAUAGGGUCUCUCUUGGUUGCCCAGACUGGAGUGCAAGUGGCACGUUCAUAGCUCACUGCAGCUUUAAACUCCUGAACUCAAACGAUCCUCCCGCCUCUGCCUCCUGAGUAGCUGAGAACACAGGUGCAAGACACCACGCCCAGCUAAUUAUUUUUUGUAGAGACGGGGUUUUGUCAUGUUGCCCGGGCUGGUCUCGAACUCCUGGGUUCAAGCGAUCUUCCUGCCUCGCCCUCCCAAAGUGCUUUACAUGACUGAGCCUCCGCGCCCAGCCAGACUUGUUUCUCAAGUGACUUCUUCUGGCCAUUUUCACAACUCAUUCCAAAGAUGUGCAGCAUAUUCUCAAAGCAUUUCCAAAUAAGCUCCAAGAAAUGUUUUUGGUAAUGGAAGCAGAAAACAAGCCUGUAGCUCAUGACUACUUUGGAGGAAGAACAUUUGGAUUUGUAAAUUUAGUGUGUUAAAAAAAUCACUUAUCACAGAUGUUUGGAAUCUUCCCACUGAUUUCUGCAUGGCUGCUUAUUUUUCUUCCCUUAAGUCUCAGUUCAUGUCACAGAGGGCUUCCCUGACCUCUCACACCUCACCACCAUCAACCUGUUUUCUCCAUAGCACCUAUCACAGUCUGAAUUGUCUUAUUAUGGCCUUACCUAUCCCUAACACCCAUUUAAAAAUGUAAGCAUGAAAGAAGGAACGUUGUCUAUCUUGUUCAUUGCUGAAUCCCCAGUGCCUAGAAUAGUACCAAUAAAUACUUGUUAAAUGA